rnacentral:rRNA from 1 species
GCUGGCGGCACGCCUAAACAUGCAAGUCGAACGCAGUAGCAAUACUGAGUGGCAAACGGGUGAGUAUAAUGUGGGAAUCUGCCUUUUGGUUUGGAAUAACACGGGGAAACUUGUGCUAAUACCGAAUAAGCCCUUACGGGGAAAGUUUUAACGCCGAAAGAUGAGCCUGCACUUGAUUAGCUAGUUGGUAAGGUAAAAGCUUACCAAGGCAACGAUCAAUAGCUGUUCUUAGAGGAAGACCAGCCACAUUGGGACUGAGACACGGCCCAGACUCCUACGGGAGGCAGCAGUGGGGAAUCUUGCACAAUGGGGGAAACCCUGAUGCAGCGAUGCCGCGUGAGUGAAGAAGGCCUUUGGGUUGUAAAACUCUUUCGUCGGGGAAGAAAAUGACUGUACCCGAAUAAGAAGGUCCGGC